rnacentral:tRNA from 1 species
GGGGCGGUGGUCUAGUUUGGCUAUGAUACAUGCCCGGGGAGCAUGUGGUCGGGGGUUCGAAUCCUCCCCGCCCCA